UCGAGGGGCAGCAUGAACUUAGCUUGCUAAGUUUGAUGGCGACCGGCGCACGGGUGAGUAACACGUAUCCAACCUGCCGAUGACUCGGGGAUAGCCUUUCGAAAGAAAGAUUAAUACCCGAUGGCAUAAUUCUUCCGCAUGGUAGAACUAUUAAAGAAUUUCGGUCAUCGAUGGGGAUGCGUUCCAUUAGGUUGUUGGCGGGGUAACGGCCCACCAAGCCUUCGAUGGAUAGGGGUUCUGAGAGGAAGGUCCCCCACAUUGGAACUGAGACACGGUCCAAACUCCUACGGGAGGCAGCAGUGAGGAAUAUCGGUCAAUGGACGAGAGUCUGAACCAGCCAAGUAGCGUGAAGGAUGACUGCCCUAUGGGUUGUAAACUUCUUUUAUACGGGAAUAAAGUGAGGCACGUGUGCCUUUUUGUAUGUACCGUAUGAAUAAGGAUCGGCUAACUCCGUGCCAGCAGCCGCGGUAAUACGGAGGAUCCGAGCGUUAUCCGGAUUUAUUGGGUUUAAAGGGAGCGUAGGCGGACGCUUAAGUCAGUUGUGAAAGUUUGCGGCUCAACCGUAAAAUUGCAGUUGAUACUGGGUGUCUUGAGUACAGUAGAGGCAGGCGGAAUUCGUGGUGUAGCGGUGAAAUGCUUAGAUAUCACGAAGAACUCCGAUUGCGAAGGCAGCUUGCUGGACUGUAACUGACGCUGAUGCUCGAAAGUGUGGGUAUCAAACAGGAUUAGAUACCCUGGUAGUCCACACAGUAAACGAUGAAUACUCG
rnacentral:rRNA from 1 species